AGAGUUUGAUCCUGGCUCAGAUUGAACGCUGGCGGCAUGCUUUACACAUGCAAGUCGAACGGCAGCACGGGUGCUUGCACCUGGUGGCGAGUGGCGAACGGGUGAGUAAUGCACCGGAACGUACCCAGUAAUGGGGGAUAACACACCGAAAGAUGUGCUAAUACCGCAUACGCCCUGAGGGGGAAAGCGGGGGAUCGUAAGACCUCGCGUUAUUGGAGCGGCCGAUGCCGGAUUAGCUAGUUGGUGAGGUAAGAGCUCACCAAGGCGACGAUCCGUAGCUGGUCUGAGAGGACGACCAGCCACACUGGGACUGAGACACGGCCCAGACUCCUACGGGAGGCAGCAGUGGGGAAUUUUGGACAAUGGGCGCAAGCCUGAUCCAGCCAUGCCGCGUGAGUGAAGAAGGCCUUCGGGUUGUAAAGCUCUUUCGCAAGGAAAGAAAACUUAUCUACUAA
rnacentral:rRNA from 1 species